GGUAUUGCAGGCUGGGGUUUUUGCCCAGUCAUGUUCUCUGUUAAUUUCCUUCAAUACUAAGAUGGCAGUUCAGAUGAAGGAUAGUUGAAGACACAAUCUGCUUUGUAUCUUUGGUUUAGUUCGCCAUCCACUGGUUUUUGUGUUCUGUGUGCGUCCAAGGAUAUGUAAGUAAAUUACUGACAUUAUUAUUUACAGAUAGAUGUGUAUUUUUAUUAUAUUUUUGAUGAUAGUUGGUAAUUGUAAUUAUGAUGUCCAGCCAGCCACAUGGCAAUGCUAAUUAGGUUUAUUUUCUGCUUUUUCUGUUUGUAGAACCACACACACACACUCUGUAUCUGCUUUAAACCCACCAGUAUACAAAUAUUGUAUGGAUCUUCUUUGAUGGUGAAUAAACCACAACAUUUUGGACAUCAAGCAUUUGACUGAUGCUUCACAGCGGUCACCAUUCCCACAACCAGUUUUUAAUUGAAAUAUUAGAAUCCCUCAUUACAUUUGGUGCCGAAACCCGGGAAGAGUGAUCACUGUGCACAUUUAAAAUGUUUCCACAUGAGAGGAGAGAUACGACUACACAUGCGGAUAAUCGCCCGCGACGUCAGAUACGUCCCCCCGCAUGGAUGGAUGAUUACGAAGUGCAGCUGCCACCCAUGGAUAGACAUCCCUUCGCUACAGCAGCACCAAGCCAGCAUGAUCUCCUAACCCAGCAGCCAUACUACAGUCGGGAGAGGCGUGGAGACAGCUCUGCUUCAUCUGUGCUCUCUAACCCGUGGACCCCAUUGUAUGAUGCUCGACCAAAGUAUCCCAGAGAGUCGGUGUACUCGGGACUCCAGUAUAGUAGCACCCCUGAUCCACAGUUUAUGAGAGCACCACCAGACCCCUCACCUGCUAUGCAAGAGGAGCUGCGUCAGGUUAAGGAAGAGAAUCGCAGGCUUCAGGCCACUGUAAUGGAGAUACAAAGGCAGCUCAAUACAAGUAAACAGCCAGACAUAUCCCGGCCUCCUCCUCCCUCCUCUCUACGGCCAGAUCCUGUUACCCAUUUACCAGCACGCAUACCGCCAGUGCCACCUGUGGAUGCAGUGCCUCGCAGCCUCUCACAGUCAGCUCCACAGGCCAUGACGGCACCUGCUCCCCCCAUGGGUGUAGCUGUGAAGGAUGAAGCUGACGAUGGGGAAUGGCCUCCUCCUCCCCCAUCUGUAGCAGAGGACGACACGCCGUAUUCAUCGGCAGCAGUUCCUCUGCCAGUGUCUCUCGUGGAAGAGCUGACAGCCUGUCUUAGAAAGAUGGGGAGGGCCCCAGAGCCCCCACUAAGGGUGGCUGAGUACUGUGAGCAGUAUUCUGAGGGAUCUGUGUCUCAAGGACACACUCACCGGCCAGAGCAACUGUCCACUCAAGCUGGACCCAUUCAUCCGAGCUCUGGACGCCAAGCCCCAUUCACUGACCCUAGCCAUGAGGGAGCCUAUGCCCACCGACAGAGAGAAAGUGUCUAUAGAGGGCCUAAAGCUACCAUUCCAGACUUCACUAAAGGGGACCCCCGUGAGUUUAAUAGGAUGAAAGACUCACUUGAGAACCUUCUCCCUGCAGAUGCUACAGAAAGGUUUAAAUACCAAAUACUUCUGGACCAUCUGAAAUUUGAAGAUGCACUCCUCAUAGCAGACUCCUAUAUGAACUCCUCCCAACCAUAUACGGACACCAUGGCCUCACUAACCGUGCAUUAUGGGCAACCCCAUCAGUUGGCGUUACGGCGCAUUGCAGAGUUAAUGGAGGCACCCAGCAUCCGAAGCCAUGAUGCAGCCGCCUUCAAGAGGUUUGCCCUCAGAGUGAGAGCUUUGGUUGGUAUGCUCGACAAGCUGGGAGAAGAGGGUCAUAUAGAGCUAAAGUGUGGGUCGCAUGUAACCAGGCUGAUGUCCAAGCUCCCACAGGAACGGCGUGCUGAUUUCAUGAAAUAUGUGCAUCCAUUCAAUGUUCGAGUCCCUACAUUGUUCGACUUCUCUGACUGGCUAGAGUUCGAGCUAAAGGUCCAAGAGUAUGGGCAGUGCUUGUUCAGAGAAGUGAAAGAGACCACAGAGGGAAAGAAAGAGCGACGAAAGGAUUCAAAGUCAGCUAUGCCCACUACUGUACUCCACAGUACUGAGAAGUCCCCAGACAGUACAUCGGCUAACGCCAGUCCUGCAAGCAAGAUCCUGCCAUCAUGCCCAUACUGUACCAAUGCCCAGCACUACUUGAACCAGUGUACUACGUUCAGUCAGCUCACUACUGAGCAGCGCAGUGCCUGGAUCAAGAGCAACAGAAGGUGCUGGCGUUGUGCUCGUUCCCAUCAAGCCGCCCAAUGUCGACUGAAGGCUAGGUGUAAGUCCUGUGGAGGGAGACAUCUGGACGCCCUUCAUGACCUCAACGCAAAACCAGCCACUGAGGAGAAAUCCUUCCUUGUGAGUGCUCCGACCAACGAAGUACUCUAUCUAGAUCGUAAGGCAGGCUCCAGCCAAGUGCUCUUAAAGGUGUUGAAGGUGGUGCUACACCAUGGGGAGAAGGCUUUGGAGACUUAUGCAAUACUUGAUGAUGGCUCAGAGCGAACAAUGCUCCUUCAAGCUGCUACAAAGGCCUUACAUCUGACAGGUGAGCCAGAGGAGAUUGCUCUUAGAACAGUGCACCAAGACCUUAAAGUGCUGCAGGGCUUUUCUGUCUCAUUCACCAUUUCACCUGCCGGUCAACCGCAAAAGACCUUCCAGAUCCAGAGAGCCUUUACUGCAGACCUUCUGGGAUUGGCAGAACACUCUCAGCCUGUUAAGAUGCUCCAGCGCCGGUACAGACACCUGCAAGGCCUGCCGCUCAGAACGCUAGAUAGAGUUCAGCCAAUGGUCCUCAUUGGAUCUGACCAUCCUCACCUGAUUACCCCGACAGAGCCAGUCCGAUUGGGGCCACCAGGAGGACCAGCGGCUGUGAAGACCAGACUGGGCUGGGUCAUCCAAGGGCCCACUAGUGUUGUUCGGCAACAACUCCAGCCUGAACUUUGUUUGAACAUUGGCGUACUUUCACCCUCAGAGCAGCUCCAACACCAUGUGGAGAAGUUAUGGCAGAUGGAUGUGGUGCCAUACAAAAGUGAAAGGCUGGUGACGCGCUCGAGGCAGGACCAAGAGGCGGUGCACAUGCUUGACACGAAGACAGUACGGGUGGAGGUUGAUGGAGUCUUGCGCUACGCCACACCACUGCUACGUGUGAAGGAUAUGCCCUGCCUCCGCACUCCCAAAGAAGCUGUCCUAGCCAAUCUGAGGAGCACUGAAAGACGUCUGCUUAAAGACCCAGAGAAAGCAGCAGCCUAUGGGGCUGAGAUCUUGAAACUCAAACAGGCCGGCUAUGUUGUCAAGAUUGAAGAUGAGGAGGUGAACGAGUCAACCGAAUCCUGGUUUAUCCCACAUCACAUGGUGACGCACAAUGGGAAAAAUAGGAUUGUGUUUAACUGCUCCUACACCUAUAAAGGCCAGAACCUGAAUGAGUUACUGCUACCUGGUCCGACCCUUACCUCCAGCAUUCUUGGUGUCCUGCUAAGAUUCCGGGAACAUGCUAUCGCCCUCAGCAGUGACAUCAAGGGCAUGUUCCACCAGGUGCGGUUGUUACCAGAGGACAGACCUUUGCUGCGCUUCUUGUGGAGGGAUCUGAAAGGAGGAGUACCACCAGAUGUCUAUGAAUGGCAAGUCCUCCCCUUUGGAACCACAUGCAGCCCCUGCUGUGCAACGUAUGCACUGCAGAAGCAUGUGGCAGACCACUGUCAACCAGGGGAUGAAGUUCGUUUUUCCAUUGAGCGGUGCUUCUAUGUAGAUAACCACCUGCAAAGUCUCCCCUCCACUGAAGAAGCCCAUCAGCUGGUUGACAAACUCAGGGCCCAGCUUACCACAGGUGGCUUCGAUCUGCGCCAAUGGGCUAGCAAUGUCCCGGAAGUCAUCAGCCAUCUGCCGAAGGAGUCAAGAUCUGAGAGCAGUGAGCUAUGGCUCACAGAAUCCCAUGAAGAUCCUCAAGAGCUCACCCUUGGACUCCGUUGGCUGUGUGCGUCAGACACUCUAGGCUACAAGUAUCACCUUGCAGAAAGCCCUACUCCUACCAUGAGGAACAUCUACAGCACGCUGGCAAGGCUUUAUGAUCCACUAGGUUUUCUCAUACCCUUCACCACGCGAGCCAAGAUCAUUGUGCAGUACCUAUGGAAGAAGGAAAGAGAAUGGGAUGAUCCCUCCUUGCCAGCGGAUGCUCUCAAGGCGUGGCUGAGUUGGGAAGCCGAGCUGCAACACCUUCCAGAGAUUGUCCUACCUCGUUGUUAUACAAGCCCCCCUCUGGACAACCCUGCUGCUCUGCGAAGCCUGCAAAUUUUCUGUGACGCAUCUGAGAAAGCUUAUGGCUCAGUAGCAUACUUGCGUACAGAAAUACCAGGCAAGAAGGUGGAAGUAGCUUUCCUGACAGCGCGAUCAAGAGUAGCCCCCAAGCGCCAGCAGACAAUGCCCAGGCUGGAACUGUGCGCAGCCUUGACAGGUGCCCAGCUGGCCAAGCUCCUACAGCAUGAGCUAACCCUGAGACUCGAUGAGGUGACGCUCUGGACGGACUCAACCACUGUCCUGACUUGGAUCCAGUCAGACUCCUGCAGAUUCAAGGUGUUCGUGGGUGCCAGAGUCGCUGAAAUCCAGGAGAUAAGCGAGGCCCAAUCCUGGAGGUACGUGGACUCUGCAAACAAUCCCGCAGACGACAUAACCCGUGGGAAGAGCCUAAGAGACCUUGCAGGGAAAAGCAGUCGUUGGAGCCACGGCCCAGCAUUCCUGCAUCAGUCCCCUGAACACUGGCCAACCAAACCCACAGCGGAGUCCCUGGAGGGUGAAGAGUUGCGCAAAACCACAUUCUGUGGCUCCAUAACCACUGCCCCACUCCUCUACUUACCUGACACAAGCCAGUUCAGCAGUUUUAAAGAGUUAAUGGAAGCAGUGGUCCAGGAGCGUCACGGGACGGCAAAGGACCAUUCUACUCCAGCAGCCGAGGACUAUCGUAAUGCUGAGAGAGACCUGCUGAGACAAGUGCAGGUGGAAUGCUUCCCAGAGGACCUCAAGCACCUGUCAGAGAGCAAACCAGUCCCCUCCACCAGUCGUCUCAUCGCCCUUGCCCCUGAGUAUGACAAACAGCUCAAGUUGAUUCGGGUUGGAGGAAGACUGCGGCGCAGCGACCUGCUUGAGGCUGAGAGCAUUCACCCUAUCGUCCUGGAUCCAGCCCACCCAGUCACCAGGCUCAUAAUCCAAAGUGUCGACUGCGAUCUUCGCCACCCAGGAUCUGAGCGCCUCUAUGCUGAAUUACGUCGGAAGUACUGGAUCCUCCGUGGACGAGAGGCGGUGAAGCGGCAUCAACAUUCAUGUACUGAGUGCCAGAGAUGGAGGGCAAAACCAGUUAUACCACAGAUGGCAGACUUACCACCUGCACGUCUGCGGUUGCUGAAGCCACCGUUCUUCUCCACCGGUAUGGAUUGUUUCGGUCCUCUUACUGUCAAGGUAGGACGACGACAGGAGAAGCGCUGGGGUAUACUAUUCAAGUGCCUCACUACCCGCGCCGUCCACAUAGACCUCUUGAGUAGUCUGGACCAGGAUUCCUUUCUGAUGGCACUCCGCCGAUUCAUCUCCCGCAGAGGGAAACCUGCUGAGUUACUCUCGGACCAGGGCACGAAUUUCAGAGGAGGGGAGAGGGAACUGCACGACUCCUUCAAAGCAAUGCACCCUGCCCUACAGUCCGAGCUGGCUAAGCACCAGGUGAAGUUCCAGUUUAAUCCACCAAGUGCACCCCACUUUGGAGGGGCCUGGGAGAGAGAGAUCAGGUCCAUCAAGUCGGCCCUGUAUGCCACCAUCCAGUCACAGACUGUGACAGAAGAGGUCCUUCACACAGUCCUUAUUGAAAUUGAGGGCAUACUCAAUUCGAAGCCACUGGGUUAUGUAUCCAGUGACAUCGCAGACCCAGAUCCAGUGACACCCAACAUGCUCUUGAUGGGGCGGCAGGACCCCUCUUUGCCUCAGGUUGUGUACACGGAAUCUGAGCUGCUGAGCCGACGCCGCUGGAGACAUACCCAGGUCUUGGCUGACCAGUUCUGGAGGAAGUUUAUAAGACACCACCUGCCAUUCCUCCAGACACGAUCGAAAUGGCAGAGGGACACCACUCCGCUACAGCCAGGUGCUGUUGCUAUGAUUGUGGACCCACAACUUCCCAGAGUCUCGUGGCCUGUAGGUCGUAUAACGAAGGUCACCCCGAGUGCAGACGGGAGGAUCCGGACAGCGGACAUCCAGGUCAACGACCGGAGCUACACCAGGCCAGUUGCCCGUCUGGUCCCACUGCCAGGCCUUCCAGAGACUGCUCUCAAUGGCAGUCCUUCUCCAGGAUAACAAAUAUGACUUUGCAUAUUUGGGGGCGGCUGUAUUGAAGGACUUUGGGUUUGGGAUUGUUUGAUGUGUGGUGUGUAGAAGUAGCCACUCAGCUCCCCCCUCUGGUUAGUGGUAGGUAUUGCAGGCUGGGGUUUUUGCCCAGUCAUGUUCUCUGUUAAUUUCCUUCAAUACUAAGAUGGCAGUUCAGAUGAAGGAUAGUUGAAGACACAAUCUGCUUUGUAUCUUUGGUUUAGUUCGCCAUCCACUGGUUUUUGUGUUCUGUGUGCGUCCAAGGAUAUAACCACACACACACACUCUGUAUCUGCUUUAAACCCACCAGUAUACAAAUAUUGUAUGGAUCUUCUUUGAUGGUGAAUAAACCACAACAUUUUGGACAUCAAGCAUUUGACUGAUGCUUCACAGCGGUCACCAUUCCCACAACCAGUUUUUA